GCCCCCGUAGUCUAGCCUGGAUAGGACACAACCCUCCGGAGGUUGGUGCACGGGUUCGAAUCCCGUCGGGGGCG
rnacentral:tRNA from 1 species